rnacentral:lncRNA from 1 species
CUCAUGAGACCCCCUCCCCCUACCUAGCUUUCUUUACAUGUUUUUGCCAAUUCUAUAUAUACAAAAUUCCAAAAAAGGGGGGGGGGGGGGGGGGGCACUCACAGAUUCUCUCACAGGAAAUUCCACUCACACCUUCUACAAUAUACCAUCACAUAUAUACACCAUAGGCAUAUAAACAGCUUUGGAUAAAAGAGAACCCUCUUAGAAUAACAAUUGACAACACUCAUCCUCACAACACAUAACAAGAUACACAUAUAAACAAACCAAAACUUCAUCAUCUUGAUCAUUUUCCUUUUUCUUGUUUGAAUCCUAUCAGAUGCACCAAAAAAUGGCACACACCAGUCAAAAUAUUUGAGAGAGAGAGUCCUAAAGAGAGAGAGAGCAAUGGAGAAAGAGAGAGAACAAGAUCGAGGUAGGAGAGAUUUGAGAAAAAUAGAGAUCAGGAAGGAAGAUAUUAGAGAAAAAACAAGGAAGAAAUGUGCGAAAGGAAAUUUGGAUGAGUUUUCACCGGAAAACUUCGUCGCCGCUAGUCGCGUUCUUGAUUCCAGCUACCGCUAAGCUUGUCGGAGCUCCGGUGAAGCUGUUAGUCCUAUACCAUCCCAAAACGUUGAAACAACAACAAAAAAAUAGUCGGUUAAUCGAUCCCAACUCCAAAAACUCAUUGAAAAAACCAUCGAGUUUGGGUAGAACAAAUCUCGGGGUUGAAAUCUCCAAUUUGAGGUGAUAUUUGACUCAAUUUUGGCCGUUUGGUUGAGGUUCAAUGAGGUCCAUUUCAUGAUAGAGGAACCUGAGGUCAAAACAGUCCGUAAAUUUCAAUUUGAAUCGUUGGUCUUUUGGGUAUGUUUGUUUCUUUAGGUUUGUUUGAGUUGUCGGGUCCAUGUUGAGUUCGUUGAAUCGAGGUCUUGAUUCGUGAGCUCCGAAUCCAUUGCUAAGUGUUUGGAAUAAAAUUAAGGUCUAUUUCUCAUCCCAUUUUUUUAUUAAUCUUUAUCGUUUGAUGCCUUAUGUGGUGAAUUGAUAAUGUGUGGAACUUGCUUUAUUUGAUUUGGUGUUGUUCGGACCAUGAAUGUUGAUUAAUUGGUCACUUGAAUUGGUUAAUUGGUUGAUAAUGACUUGAAUUCGUUUGAGGUAAAUGAAAUUGGGACGGGAGUUGAAAGUUGAUAAAGUGCAUAUUGUCGUUUUGAUUCAUUAAUGUUAAUUGAACUUGAUAGUAUCAUGAUAAGUCGAUUGGUUUAGGCAAACAUAGGUUGGGUAGGCAAAGCUUAAAAUUUGUGGCUUUGGUUGUUUGUUGAAAAUUCCGUGGAAUGUUUGAAAUUUUAUUGAAUAGUUUGAUUUUCUCGCACUAAAAAUGUAUUCAUUUGGCCGGGGAAUGCCUCGGGGAAUUUGUAUUGAUUUAUCCGGGGAAUGCCCUGAAGUAUCUUGUACCCGUAGGACGUUCAUGAAGAAGGCCCGAGGCAGCGGGUGGAGCUUAGUUUAGGAUUAGUUUAGAAUAGAAUAGGUUUACAUUUUCGCAUUUCUCAUUAUUCGGGAUUGUAUAAUUAGACUCAACACUCUAUUUUGAAUUUGUUUUGUUUCGUGUGUUUGAUUGGUUAAUUUAUGUGUUUUGUGUGGUUUAUAUAUUUGUAAUAUCAAAUUAGCCAAUGUGCUCACCAAGCGACCAUGGUCAAACCACGGGAUUGAGGGGUGCCUAACACCUUCCCUUCGGUCAACAGAAUUCCUUAGCCGGAAUCUCUGUUCGCAAACUAGUUUUUUAAAGAGUCAAAUCAUUUCGAAAAGGAUUUUUCAAAGGUGACUUGGCACACCGAAUUAUGUCAAGUGGCGACUCUAAGUUUAAAUAUAAAUAAUUCUUUUUCGAAAUAAAUUUUCAUCUUUUGUCACUCAAUAAUAAAAAACCCUUUUCGAACUUGAAAUUCAAUCUUUUUGGUAAAAAAAAGGGGGGUGUGACAGCUCUGGCGACUCUGCUGGGGACUUUUCAGAAUUCGAGCUUAUUUUGGAGUUGUAUCGGCUUAGUUUUGCACUAUAGGUGUAUAGACAUUUUGUUUGUGUUGUUUUGUGUUAUUGUUUAUCAUUGUUGAGUGCCUACAUGCUCUUUGUUUACAGUUUUUUACUUUGUGUUACCGCUUUAUAUCUGGCAUCAUGUGCAUAACCCAAGUCUUUCUUUCUGCAACAAGUCCAUAGUAUACGUGUGUACAUGACCUAUAGUUGAGUCACCCUUAUUUUAGGAGAGAGAGCCAUUGGGUUGUAUGGAGUAGGUGGACAGCUAAAGCAAUCCACUAUCGACCAUACGCUCCCCCGAACAGCCUUGUUAGUGGAUCCCAACGUAGGUCAGCCUUUAAGUCAUUUUUAUCUAUAUCAUAUUGAGACCUAGCGGGACCCAUGUGACCCUUUGUAGAAGACUCACCACUAAAGCAUUCCUAUGUGCUAAAUGCUGCAUCUUUGAGGGUAAUGUGGUCAUUUGACGGACUGAUUAGGGGAAAGCAUAUGUUAGAAGUAAAGUGCGUAGGCAAGAAAUGUUGAAAAAAAUAGAAAAAAGGUGAGUUGAAAAGAAAAAAAAGAGUUUCGUAUGUUUUUAGAGUUCUUUAUGGCUUUUGAUUUUUCUUUCACAAUCCAAAAAUUCAAAAAGAUUUUUUUUUUUACCUUUUGCACUCAUUUUCUCAAAAACAUCAAAAAGAGUUUCCUUUACCAUGCAUUCACAAUUCAAAAAUUCUAAAAAGAUUUUUCAUUCAUAGAAGUUUUUAUAAAAGAAAAAAUCAAAAAAAAUGGAAGAAGUUUUGUACAUUUUAUAUAAUGAAAAUACCAAUUUUUUUUUCUCUUUCAUAGUUGUUGGUGUCAGUUUUGCGUGAAGUGUCUAAUUGAAAACCCAAAAGAUUUUAUUUUCAUCGUCCUUCUGUAAUCACUUCUUUCAAGUCAAGUCUUAGUUUUUUUUAAUCCUUAUUUGUCCAACUUGGACGAACUACGCACCCUUGAUUCUCCUCUUUCAGGAUGUGAGAUACGUAGGCAACCUAUUGUUGGUUCGGGAAUCUUAUUUCAAAAAAUUCAAAAAAUAUUUCCUUCACUCUUUAUUUAGAGUAGGUUUUUCAUAUACAUCUUUAAAAGAAAACUACACAAAGAUUUUCCUUUAAUAAGUUCAAGUUUCAUUUUCACAUGAAAUUCAAAAAUCAAAAAUCCAAAAAGAUUUUUCUUUGAUCAUAGGUUUCAUUUUGUAUAGGGAUGUUAAACUUGAAAAAUUCAAAAAGAUUUUCAUCAAUUAUUUUAACAAUUUGUUAUUUUCUUUUCUUCUUAAAGUUUCAAGAAAAAUAGUUUAAUUGGCCAUUUUGGCAAGACUUCACGAACUAUGCAUACCUGAUUCUCCUCUUUUGGGAAUGAGAUAAAUAGGCGCCCUUAUUGGGUUCAGUGAUCUUUUCUAAAAUAAAAAAAGGUUUUGAAUAAAAAGUGUUGAAUUCUAAUGCCUUUGCUAUCUCUUAUUCAGUUAGUUUAAGGUAGUUGAUUUGUGGUAUUUGGCUGGUCCUCCAUAUUGCACCAAGUGAUACGAGAAUAAUCACGAAAAUAGACUUAUGUGGGUGUACAUUGAAAGCAACCAAGUGUAUGUGAAAAGAGAAGUUUAAUUAAAGGCCCAAAUACACACCAAAACAGCCCACUCCAUACACUAGAGGGGAAACCCAUUCUUGAAGGGCCAUUUUGGUCAUUUUAACUUCUAUUUGUUUUAUAAUAUAUAAGGAACAUGUUAGGGUUUAUUCACUUAGUUUUUGAAUGUUGAAAAUGGUAGAAUACACUUGAAACCCUCAAGUUCUCUCUCUUGUGAGGCUUGGCCGAAACUAGGUUAUAACAUUAAGGUGAAAUCUAUUUUGUUGUUUGUUUUCUUGGAACUUGGGGUACUUGAAGGAUUGAGGUCCUCUCUUGUGUCUCUUUGAAGAGUGUAGGUGUUCCUACUAUCAUCAUUAAGGGUCUUUGCGUGUCAUCUACAAUUAGGUUCUUAGUUAUUAUAGUAGUUUAUGUCUCACUAUCUAUCCCUUUGUCUUUUGUAAUCUUGUAACAUUAUAUCUUGUUAUUGUGGAAUUCGAAUCUGGUUAUUCUUGUUGUCAUCUUGUUAAUCUCGUUAUUGUUGUGUUGUUGGCUGUUUUUGGGUGUCAAAUACACCCUUGUUUCUUGUAUUCUUGUUAUACUUGUCGAAUCUGAGUGAGGUCCCCUUUUGGUCCACGUUCUUUCUUGAAUUUGUGGACUGUUUGGGGUAUGUUUUGUUCUUUCCCUUGUUUGUCUUGUAUCAUUUGGUAUCAAAUCCAUCUUUAGUGUUGUUCUUACAAUACCAAUCUUGGGCUUUCUUGCUAAGAAAAAAAAACUUGGGUGUUCUUGUUGUUCUUUACCUUGAAAGUGUUGUUCUUGUUGUUCAUCUUGGCCGAGGUUGCUUGUAGUGGCUAGAUCUAGUAGUCCUUUGGUGUGUAUUGUUGUUUCUUGUGUUAGUUACGUGAUUCACUAACACUAAAUGGUGUCUAGGUCUAUAUUUGAGCUUGAACUUGUUAAAGUUGUGUUGCUUAAGACAACCAAAAGUGUAAUAUAGAUUCAAAAAGGUGAACCUACAAAUUGUAAAGUUGUUUGUGAGAAGACUUGAGCCAUCACUUCCUUGACUUGACAUCUACUUUUCAACCACUUUUCCUUGUUUCAAGAGAUCUUGUUUUGUGGGAAUUAUACAAAGUCAAGUCUUGCCUUUUGAAGAUUAGACUUAAAUGAGGUUCAAGACAUAUACUUUCCCUCCAAAACCAAUUAUUUCCAUUACAUAGUAACUAAAGUUUGUAAACUUCAACUAGUGACUAAUUGUGGGGCCGUGACCAAUAGUGUGCUGCCACAUCACCCAAGUUACUGUUCACAUGAAAAUUUUAAGCUCAAAUUGUGAUCUUUUAGUUUCAUUUUGUUGUCUCAUUAGUUUCGUUUGUUGAUUCCAAUACUAACUUACAAACUAGUGACAAUUUACUAGAUUGUGAGUUGGUUUUGAAACCAUUUUUUCCGUGUUUACGUUCUUUUGUGUGUUUUUAUUCUUUUGAGCCAUCGUACACACUCGUUUCACCUCUCAACAUCUCACGGAUUACAAGCAUACUUAUAACAAUUGUGAGAUCAAAAGUGAGAAAAUCCGAGGGACAAAGGAUUAAAGAGAGAGUGUGAGGACCAUUCUUUAACAAUUAACUUGUUUAUUGUUUUGUAGGUAACUUCUUGGCUACAAUAGACAACAAUGAUCUUGGUGCUAUCUUGGAAAGACUUGAAACUAUCAACCAAGGAAUGGAAAGUAUGCUCAUGACUAUGUCCUCAAUCCGAGGAGAGAUGUCUACUAUGAAUGAGAGGUUGGAUCAAAUAGAGAGUCGAAGUAACUCUCGUGAUUCUACCCCUCGACUCCAUAUUUCUUCAAGUGGUCAUGACCAAACCCUUCCAUACCAUUUCCCCCGAGACUUUGCCUACAAAAGUCAACCCACUAAGUUCUCCACAAAAUGCCAUGAGCCAAGUUACUAAUUACCCUCAAAAUCGAGAACAAGGUAGAUCACUUCUCCCACAAGUUGAUCAAGUCCCACAAGAAGGAAUUGGAGGCCCAUUCCCUCCCAUCCAAGCUCCACAAACGAAGCUCCACAUUACCAAAAUAUCCCCCACAACCAAAACUCCACUUCUCCAAAAUCGAUAUGUCCAUAUAGAGGAGUAUGGAAGAAAGGGACACGAAGUAUUUGGAGUCUAUGAUGAUGCUUAUAUGAUCGAAAGAGACUUGAGUCGGAUAAGAUUGAAGCCAAGUCUCAAGAUUAAGAGGAAUACGAGGUUCAAAAUGAAGAUGUUGGCUGAGACUUGUUCAUAUUGAGCUCUCGGGUUCUUCAUGUUUUGCGGAUUGUCUUGAGUAUUUUUUUUAAGUGGCCAAUUAAAUAAAGUGAAGCCAUGAAUUUGUGGGCAAAUUCUUCUCAAGAUGGAGAGGAUGACAUGAGAAUAAUCAUGGAAAUAGACUUAUGUGGGUGUGCAUUGAAAGCAACCAAGUGUAUGUGAAAGAGAAGUGUAAUUAAAGGCCCAAAUACACACCAAAACAGCCCACUCCAUACACUAGAGGGGAAACCCAUUCUUGAAGGGCCUUUUUGGUUAUUUUAACUUCUAUUUGUUUUGUAAUAUAUAAGGAACAUGUUAGGGUUUAUUCACUUAUUUUUUGAAUGUUGAAAAUGGUAUAACACGCUUGAAACCCUCAAGUUCUCUCUCUUGUGAGGCUUGAUCGAAACUAGGUUACAGCAUUAGGGUGGAGUCUCUUUUGUUAUUUGUUUGCUUGGAACUUGGGGUGUUUGAAGGAUUGAGGUCCUCUUUUGUGUCUCUUUGAAGAGUGUAGGUUUUCCUACUAUCAUCAUUAAGGGUCUUUGUGUGUCAUCUACACUUAGGUUCUUAGUCAUUAUAGUAGUUUAUGUCUCACUAUCUAUCCCUUUGUCUUUUGUAAUCUUGUAACGUUAUAUCUUGUUGUUGUGGAAUCCGAAUCUGGUUAUUCUUGUUGUUAUUUUGUUCAUCUCGUUAUUAUUGUGUUGUUGGCUAUUUUUGGGUGUCAAAUACACCCUUGUUUCUUGUAUUCUUGUUAUACUUGACGAAUCCGAGUGAGGUCCCCUUUUGGUCCAUGUUUUUUCUUGAAUUUGUGGACUGUUUGGGGUAUGUUUUGUGCUUUCCCUUGUUUGUCUUGUAUCACCAAGUCACAGAGAAAGUUAUGGCCAACAAGGAUAUCGAGUUUGUUGUCACUGAUCAAAUAGGGAGUUCGGGCAAUGAGAAUUUAAGAGCUAAUGAAGAGAUUUGAAAAUUAAGGCAACAAAUGAUAGAAAUGCAUCGAGCUUGGGCUAAUGGGUUGCCACCUCCUCCAUUUCCCGCUGAUAAUAUGGAAUAUCUUUCUAGCUUGUCUCCAGUGUCACAUACACAGUUUCCUAUUUUUGUUGACACACCACUACAUGCAUCAGGAUCUGCUCCGGGGAAACACUAUCCAAACACUUCCAAUAUUUAUUUCCUCACUCCUCAACACAAAGCUACCACAUGCUCGGCUCCACCCACCGUUCAUGUUUUUGCAGCACCACCCCCACCCAAAGCUCCUACUUUUGAGGUUUGUCCAUAAGUUGUGCCUCCCCAAGCUGUGAGAGAGCCCGUAUUGAAUAUUUUUGCUGAUCAAUAUCAUGCUAUUGAGCCCACAUUUAAGUCGACUAAUCCUUAUGGAUACACUCAUCCGCCUGAAUUUUCUCUUAAUGCCAAAAAGCCUGUUAUGAAGAAGAACAAGAAGAAAUGACCAAAAAAUUGAGAAGUUUGGAACUGGCUAUGAAAAGUCUCCAAGGGCCUGGGGGGUACAAAAGUGUCUCAUAUAAAGAUUUAUGCAUGUUUUCAGGUGUUCAUCUCCCUUUCAAUUUUAAGAUGCCAAAGUUUUAGAAGUAUGAUGGACACGGGGAUCCGGUGGCGCAUUUGAUACGUUAUUGUAACCAACUAAGAGGUGUCGAAGGCAAAGAAGAACUGCUCAUGGCUUACUGUGGUGAGAGUCUUUCGGGUCUAGCCUCAGAGUGGUUUGUUGAUCAGGAUAUUGAUAGGUGGAAUAGUUGAGGUGAUUUAGCUAAUGAAUUUGUGCAACAAUUUCAAUAUAAUAGGGAAUUGAUCCUUGAUGAAAAAUCCCUAACCAGUAUGAAGAAGAAGAAUAUUGAGAGUUUCAGGGAGUACGCGAUCAGAUGGCGUGAACAAGCAUCUAGGGUAAAACCGCCAAUAAAAGAAAGCAAGAUAAUGGAGGUGUUUAUUCAAGCGCAGGAUGAAACAUAUUAUCAACACUUUUUACCUGCAUUAGGCAAGCCAUUUAUUGAGGUCCUCAAAAUGGGAGAGAUGAUAGAGGAUGGAAUUAAGGUUGGUCGCAUUGUUAGUCUUACAACAUUGAAAACGAUUACUCAAGCAAUUCAAAAGGGUUCAGGAAGUGUUGGGGAGACAAAGAAUGAGGAAGAUGCAUCUGCUAUUGUAGUUGGAUAGCGAGAACGGUCAAGAAGACCCCGUCGUAGUUACUCUCAAGUACAAACCCAAGUUCACGCCCAAGCUCCACAUAAUCACUCCCAAAAUCCAUUAUACUCUGCUCCUCCACCUCCAUACCCAGUAUGUAACGCACAACCUUAUAUUCAACCCCCAUCUUACCUACAGUGGAACACACCAACUCCUCAGAGUCAUCCUCUAACUCCACAAACAUACCAAAACCCUUCUAAGCCUGAUUUUCUAUCUAAGUCAAACGAUGAAAUAAGGCAAAAGUCAAGAAAUAGCUUCACACCAAUUGGAGAGUCGUAUGCCAGUUUAUUUCAGAGAUUGGUACAAUGAGGCAUGAUCACUCCUCUCCUUAGGUGCACUCUUAAUCGGCAUUCAAGAAAUUUUGAUCCUAAUAUACGAUAUGCCUAUCAUUCUGAUGCUCAGGGUCAUAGUAUUGAAGAUUAUCGAGAUUUGAAAAGAGAAAUUGAAAAGAUGAUUCAAGAUGGAUUAAUUAUGGUGCAGAACGUUGACAGUGAGGGAAGUUCUAGUCAUGCUGAUAUGCAAACCAGUGGCUAAGUCGUCAAGCUGAGCAAUUGAGAAGUCACCCCUUUCCUUACUAGGAAGAGGUUUGGUAGUUUGUUUUGUCUUCUUUUCUGUUUUCUAAAUUAUUUCAGGGUUGUAGUUCGGGAUCUAUUUUCUUUUGUCCCUUUGUCGUUUAUGUUCAAACUCUUCUAACUUUUAUUUCAACUAAAUGAAUUGUCCCUUUCCCUUUGUGUUUAAAUAUGUGUUGUUUGUUUGUUUUCUUUAUACAGUACAUUUUAUGUUGAUUCUACUGAUAUGACAUGCUAGUAAAAUUUUCAGCCAGAUUUUAAAAUCCAACUUAACCAUGAAACAUUGAAUCAGAGGGCUAAAGUUAGAAAAAAUAUCUGAGGAAAUAGGUAGAGUGCUGAGACAUUUGGUGACAAGUUGAAUCCUUCUUUGAAAAUUAAGGCACUUAUUUUGAGAAUCACAAGAAUAACCCGGUCAUCAAUUAAAAGACAUGUCUUAAUUAGGUCAAAUAGUGGCUGCGUGAACAGAACGAAAAUCAGCUCCACAAAAUCACGAGUCAUUCAAUGUGAGGAAUAUGUAACAAAAGUGGAGUUGUAUGCUAGAAAAGCGCAGAAGAAAUAGUGAUGCACAGACUCAGUCAAAGUUAAUGCUGCAAAAAAUGUCACAAAUGAUCUUUCAUCUUUCACUUCCAUAUUGCAUGAUAUGUAUUUGCAUUUUUAAGGAUUGAUAUGACGAAGACAUUUCAUUCUACUAUCAAAACAUUGUGUCAUCCUUUGUUUACCCCAUUUGAGAUUUAAUCCUCUUUUCUUUCAUACCCAUCUUUAUGAAUCAAGAUAGAGUUAGUAAAACUCAAAAGAAAUGUGUCGAAAAAAAAUGUGUGUCCAAAAGGAAAAAAAAGAGAAGAGUGUUAAAAAUUGGGUCAGAAAAAAAAAUUCCAAAGAGAAAAGAGAAAAAAAAUCAGAAUCAAUCAAAAGAACAAGCUGCCAGAACUAUGCAUGACCUGAUUCUCCUCUCUCGGGGGUGAGAUAUGUAGGCUGCCCUACUAAGGGCUAGGUCCAACCAAAUAAACAAUUUAGAGUCACCCAAUUAAAAGAAACUGGGGCCUGAGUUAAUCCUCAUUAUUUGAGUCGAUUCCAAAAGUUAUAAGUCCUACCCCACUUCAAGUGUCGUUUGGGCCCCAUACAAUCCUUUUUUUCUAACCCUAUCCAAAAGUAAAGUUACAACCAAAGAAAGACCUUCAGAUCAAUCUUUGAGGAUGUUAAGUCUAAGCAUGCAAGGGAUAUGAUGACACAUUUUGGGAACUACUUGUCUUCCUUAGCAUAGGGAAUCAGGAGAGAAGUAAAAAUGAAAGAGUUUCAUUGGUGAAAACCCUCACGAGCACCAUAAGGAUAUGGUAAGUUGAAAAAGAUAAAAAUAAGAGAGUCUUAUCGAUGAAAACUCUCACGGGCACCAUAAGACAACUGUGAGUUAAAGGAAACGAAGAUAAGAGAGUCUUAUUAAUGGAAAACCCUUACAGACACCAUAAGGUAAUGGUGAGCUGAGAGAAAGAAAAAAGCUUGUUGGCGAAAACCCUUUAAGGCGCCACUAGCUGAAUGGGGUCUUAAAUGCAAUUGACCUAAGGAACCAACUCAGUUUCAAGGCUAUUAACUCAAUAACAAUGGGUAGAAAGUUUAGAUGAAAAGAUCAAGCUGCUUAAUCCAAAAUGCAUGGCAUAAUCAUUAGUGUUGACUGUCAUUUUUAGAUGAAUUUUUCAUUUCUUUGUUUCAAAAGGGGACAUUCAUUGUCUUUACUUUCUUCUCUUUAUUUUUAUUUUAUCUUUCUUGAGUCAGUUAUCCAAACAAAAAUUGUUAUUUUUUUUCGUUUCUUGUCUUUAAGUCAAGUCCGUGUCAAAAUAAGUGAAAAAAAAAUUCAAAACUGGCUACCAGCUUCUUUAAUUGCACAAAGCAAGACAAAAUAUAACACAUGAAAGAGCCAUGAUUGUGAGCCAAAAAAGGGAAUGUAGAAAGUUUUGUCAACAGAGAAGUCAGGGAACUCAUGGAAAUACCAAGGUUCAAAGGGUCUAUCUGAGAAGCAUGGCAAAGCAGAGAUACUGUGUUUGUUUUAGUCACUCUUAAUAAUCUGAGUUCGGGUCAAUGAUUCAACAAGUCAAUGAUAUAUGCUAAUGGUUGGAAGCAAUUUUAAAUGUGACGAGGGCAAAAGCGAUCGCCGCGAAAGCUAAAUCCACAAACCAGCUACCAUGUUUUAAACUCACAAGUUUUCUUUGAUGAAACAGGAAAUAUAUUACCUUCAAAGCAAGGACUUCAGAGCAUAAAUAUCAAGGAUUGCAAUACCUCAUUUCUACAAAUGCAGAAUAAUCAAAUCAUGGUAAAAAAUCAUCAUCCUAUAUCCCUCGGAGACACUUUCUUGUACAGGAAUUUCAGUUUUCAUUUGCUAGGUGAUACACUUCUUAAAUUGAAAAUUCACUCCUAGGAGACGUACCUUCUAGUUGAGUUAUUCUUUUUGAUUCCUAUAAGACGUAACUUUUAGUCGAGUCAUUCCCCUUGACCCCUAGAAGACGUACCUUUUAGUUGAGUCAUUCCCCUUGACCCCUAGAAGACGUACCUUUUAUUCGAGUCAUUCUCUUUGAUUCCUAUAAGACGUACCUUUUAGUCGAGUCAUUCCCCUUGACCCCUAGAAGACAUACCUUUUAGUCGAGUCAUUCCUCUUUACCCCUAUAAGACUUACCUUUUAGUUGAGUCAUUCCCUUUGAUUCCUAUAAGACGUACCUUUUAGUCGAGUCAUUCCCCUUGACCCUUAGAAAACGUACCUUUUAGUCAAGUCAUUCCCCUUGACUCCUAGAAGACGUACCUUUUAUUCGAUUCAUUCCCUUUGAUUCCUAUAAGACGUACUUUUUAGUCGAGUCAUUCCCCUUGACCCCUAGAAGACGUACCUUUUAGUCGAGUCAUUCCCCUUUACCCCUAUAAGACGUACCUUUUAGUCGAGUUAUUCUCUUUGAUUCCUAUAAGACGUACCUUUUAGUCGAGUCAUUCCCCUUGACCCCUAGAAGACGUACCUUUUAGUCGAGUCAUUCUCCUUUACCCCUAUAAGACGUACCUUUUAGUCGAGUCAUUUCCCUUGACCCCUAAAAGACGUACCUUUUAGUCGAGUCAUUCCCCUGAUUCCUAUAAGACGUACCUUUUAGUUGAUUUAUUCCCCUUGACUUCUAGAAGACGUACCUGUUAGUCAAGUCAUUCCCUUUGAUUCCUAUAAGACGUACCUUUUAGGCGCGUCAUUCUCCUUAAUUCCUAUAAUGAUGUGACUUUUACAAAAGUCCUUUGAUGAUAAACUGGGGCAAAAUUUAAUUCUUGUUGUUUGGAACUUCACUUUUCUAGCAAAUGAUCUUUUUAUACAAUCUUUGUUUGGGAUAAUUUUCUUUUUAGUUUGAUGUGAUUUCAGGAGCCAGCCUGAAGAACGUGGCGAAUAAAUAAAAAGUCAAGCAACAUGGUGAAGAAGUUGAAAGUCAAGCAACAAGAGGAAGAAAAUUGAAAGUCAACAGUUGAAAAAAACAAGUCAGGAGCCCGCCUGAAGAACAGGGUAAAGAAGUUGAAAACCAAGCAAAAGUUGAAGAAAUUGCAAUUCAGGCGCUCGCCUGAAGAACAGGGUGAUGAAAUUCAAGUCAAGAGUCCAAAAAAAGCUGCACAGAUAGGAUUUUUGUAAUUUCAUUUAUGUUUUAACUUAUAAUUUUCAUUUUUUAUGAAAUAACAGAGCUGCGGACUGGAACCUCGACAGAACCUCGCUCGACUCUCCAACUCGGUAUAGUCCCUCUUCUUUCAGUCCUUGGGGAUACCUGUGACUUGAUUCCCUCAUAACUAGGGAUAAAUAUGAUGUCCAAAGUCAAGACUUAGUUUCCCUCCUUCCUUCUGUUUCAUUCUUUUUGAAUAAUGGUCGGCACAAAAUUCUGUCUCGUUGUCUACUUCUUUGUCAGAAAACACUUCGUGUUUACAUUCAAAGGGGCCAUGCUAUAGACACAUAAUUUUGUCCCUCUCAAGUUCAAUUUUAUUCAUUUUAGCUCACUUUACCACACACCCUCAUCCAUGUGAUUAUACCCCACAAAAAUUAACAAAUGCCUAACCAACCUAAUCCUCAAGAUUCUCUUACUAACAAAUUAACAACCCUCCCUAUUAAAAGUUGACUACACAUCAUCACCCCCACACCCCUUCACCAUUACCUCAUGUGACCCCCUCCCCCUACCUAGCUUUCUUUACAUGUUUUUGCCAAUUCUAUAUAUACAGAAUUCCAAAGGGGGGGGGGGGCACUCACAGAUUCUCUCACAGGAAAUCCCACUCACACCUUCUACAAUAUACCAUCACAUAUAUACACCAUAGGCAUAUAAACAGCUCUGGACGAAAGAGAACCCUCUCAGAAUAACAAUUGACAACACUCAUCCUCACAAUACACAACAAGAUAUACAUAUACACAGACCAAAACUUCAUCAUCUUGAUCAUUUUCCUUUUUCUUUUUUGAAUCCCAUCAGAUGCACCCAAAAAUGGCACACACCAGUCAAAAUAUUUGAGAGGUAGAGUCUCGAUGAGAGAGAGAGUAACGGAGAAAGAGAGAUAAAGAGAUCGAGGUGGGAGAGAUUUGAGAUAAAAAGAGAUCAGGGAGGGAGAGAUUAGAGAAAAAACAAGGAAGAAAUAUGCAAAAGGAAAUUUGGACGAGUUUUUACCAGAAAAUUUCGUCGCCGCUAGUCGCAUUCUUGAUUCCAGCUACCGCGGAGCUUGCCGGAGAUUCGGUUAAGCUGUCAGUCCUAUCCCAUCCCAAAACAUUGAAACAACAACAAAAAAUAGUCGGUUAAUCGAUCCCAACUCCAAAAACUCAUCGGGAAAACCAUCGGGUUUGGGUAGAACAGAUCUCGGGGUUGAAAUCUCUAAUUCGAGGUGAAAUUUGACUCGAUUUUGGCCGUUUGGUUGAGGUUCGAUGAGGUCUAGUUCGUGAGCUCCGGUAAGUAGCGGAACCUGAGGUCAAAACAGUCCGCAAAUUUUAGUUUGAAUCGUUGGUCUUUUGGGUAUGUUCGUUUCUUUGGGUUUGAUUGAGUUGUCAGGUCCAUGUUGAGUUCGUUGAAUCGAGGUCUUGAUUCGUGAGCUCCGAAUCCAUUGCUAAGUGUUCGGAAUAAAAUUGAGGUCUAUUUCUCAUCCCAUUUUUCGAUGAAUUUUGAUUGUUUGAUGCCUUAUGUGGUGAAUUGAUAAUGUGUGGAUCUUGCUUUGUUUGAUUUGGUGUUGUUCGGAUCAUGAAUGUUGAUUAAUUGGUCACUUGAAUUGGUUAAUUGGUUGAUAAUGACUUGAAUUCGUUUGAGGUAAAUGAAAUUGGGAUGGGAGUUGAAAGUUGAUAAAGUGCAUAUUGUCGUUUUGAUUCAUUAAUGUUAAUUGAACUUGAUAGUAUCAUGAUAGGUCGAUUGGUUUAGGCAAACAUAG